rfam:Picea glauca, whole genome shotgun sequence.
GAAAAGGUUUCUUUUGAAACCACUGUAAAGUGUGAACAGGGUCAAAG